ensembl:lncRNA
GAAGGGUGGAGGUCUCGGUGGGGGGGUAGCGGGGUGGAGGUGGCAGCUGUGGUUACCUUUCUCCUGCAUUGUGUGAAGUUAAUGUCUGCUUUGUCUGUUGGAAAUGCACUGCUAAAUUUUCUUUUAACAUGCACUUGCACUGCCCAAUGAAGCUGGGGGAAAUUUGGGGCUGGGGGGGCGGGUGGUCUUUUUUUUUUUUUUUUUCUCAACACUGUGCUCCUUUAGAACUGCACGUCAAAUGUUCCACGGACCACAUUGACCUAGAGACAACGUUAAGACACCUGCCUUGAAAAUAUAUGGUAAAUACUGCUGCAAGAAGCAGGGGAAAAAAUGUAUUGAAACAUACUAGUGUGUACAUAACUGUUUUCUUUUGCGAGCUUGGCCAAAAUGUGCAAAGUCAUUUUAAAGAGUGGCUGAGCUGCCAGCAGUGGAGUCUGUUAUUGUUGAUGUUAAUAAUGCCACCAUUUUGAAAAAGUCCAGUAUUUAUUAAUGCAUAACAUUUCAAACCCUUAACAACCGUUACAGAACAGAACAACAACAAUUCUGACCACAACAUCAACAUAAAGCACUUAAAUGUUUAAAAUGCGAUCUGUUUAUGAAGUGGUGGAUCGGUUGGGGUGUAUUUCUGCUUUCAUUUCAGAUGAUUGGGAAUCAGUGUGUAUGUUGUUUACACCUUUUCUCAUCAUUUUAUUGUUUUACAUUGUAAAUAAUAGACAUAAUUUCAUUGGGAAAAGUGUUAAUUGAGUUGUUUCAUUUUAUCACAGUCCAUUUUCCAAUUAUUUUUUUUCUGGAUUGGUGGAUGAUUUUAUUUGCAUUAGAUGGUUGACAGAUGAAUGUAAUGUGAUCUAAUUGUUGUAUUUAAUGGACUGAACACCUUUGGGCCUUGAAGUGAUGGUUUACCCAAAUUACAAAGCUGCGUAUUGGUGUCCUUACCAAGUAAUUAGUCUGUGGACAACAUAUGACCGCUUUCCAUUGUUGGGUUAGGUUUCUUGGAACAAAUCACUGCCAGGCAAACUAAAUCAAAACAUGGAAUGCCUGUACCUUGUACAAAGACUGCUGGUAGAGUAUGCAAACUAAUGUACAUUUGUAGUUUGGGUGACCGAUUGCUUUAACUCACUGUAUUUGCAACAUGUCACCAUUUAUAUCUAGCUUCUUGCCACGUCUAAAUAAUUAUAAAGCCUUGACAUGUGGAUCCAUCAGUCUUCUGCUUCUUUUUCCUCAUUGUUGUUAUUCCUGUGCAGUCAUUUUUAAGUUUCAUCUUAAAUAAUUAACAUUUUAAUUUAAGAGCAUUUGAGCAUAGUUGUACUCUAAUAACGAUUAAAGAAGACUCAGAAUUCAGUAUACCAUUAAUCAGAAUGCGUUAAGUUUUAUCUUAAUCACAAUGUGCGGCUUCACACUUGCUGGUGCAUUUUCCUCCAAGAAAUUAGAGCACCAUAAUGAUCAUAAGUGUGAUUCAUUUGUAAUGUUUUUACCAAUGAGCUCUAACUUCACCAAUGGUCACAGUUAGUGACAUCAGAAAGUACUCAGACACUUUCACUUUCUCCAUAUUUUGUGUGGCAUUUAUUAAAAUCAAAUAAAACUAAUUGUAUAUCUCAUGUACAUAUUUCUUAAGCCCCUUUAUUCAGUGCUUUAUAGAUGCGCUUUGGGCUGUAAUCACAGCUUUGUGUCUUCUUGGUUAUCGCUCUACCACUUGCACACCUGGAUUUUUGAAUUUUCUCCAAUUCAUCCCUGCAGAUAUUAUCAAGUUAUUUGGAUGGGGAGCAUCAGUGACCUGAGAUUUCCAUGGCUCCCCAGAGAUUUUCAAUUGGGUUCAAGUCUGGGUUUUGUUUUAUUUCGCUAUGCUCAUCCUCCCCUAAAUCAAGGUCCUUGAGAAUAUCCUUAUAGAAUGGAAUAUGCCUGUUACUCAUGGUGUGCUGCAGAGAUGGUUAUCCUUCUGGCAGGUUCUCUGGUCUAUGCUGAGAAAUUGGGAUGCUCUCUUUGGGUGGCCUUUUGGUUUUUGGUCACACAGCUGACUCAUGCAUUCCUUUCUCGGUUAUUUGGUUUGGCUGGCUGGCCGGUUCCUGGAAGUCUCUGUGAUUUCAAGCGAUUUGAGCUAAAGCGCUUCUACAAAAUACUGAAUAAAACCACUGAAUAAUUAUGCACAUGAGAUCUGUUUGUUUUCAAUUAAUUGGCAUACAUUUCUGAACUUAUUUUCACCUUUUCAUCAAUUAAAUAAUCAGUAUGUAACACUGAAAUGUAGAGAAAGUGUAGAGAAAAAUGUAUGCUGGCAAAGGCCGCCAGGUUUUUGGCAAAAAUUUCCAGAUACUUAGUAAUAGUCUUGGACCCACUGACCUUAUGAAAGGCCCCAAAAAACUAUUGAACUCGUUGGUUUCUCAAUAAAGGCUUUGUCUGGCAACCCGUCCAAAUUGGGUGACGGCAUAGAGGUGGAAUGUAAUUGUAGAUUUGUAGGUCUUUCACUCUGCUUGUGGCACAGAUACGCCCUGCAUCCUCUGCAAGGCAGGUAUAUCACCGCUACUCUGGUUUCAAACUUGUUAAUGCCUUGCCCUAUGAUGAUAACAUGUACAGUGGGGAGAACAAGUAUUUGAUACACUGCCGAUUUUUCAGGUUUUCCUACUUACAAAGCAUGUAGAUGUCUGUAAUUUUUAUCAUAGGUACACUUCAACUGUGAGAGACGGAAUCUAAAACAAAAUCACA